GUUUGAGUGAUGACUCCACAAAUUGUCGGAUACCCCUUCACUCCCGUUAUGAGUGAUAACAGUGGUCUGACAAAC
rnacentral:snoRNA from 2 species